UAUAUAAAGUGAAACCUGCCCAGUGAUAUAAUUUUUAACGGCCGCAGUACCUUGACUGUGCUAAGGUAGCAUAAUAAAUUGACUUUUAAUUGAAGCCUUGUAUGAAAGGAAUAAUGGAUUGUUACUGUCUCUAAAUAUAAUUUAUUUUAAGUUACUUAGAAGGUGCAAAUACCUUUAAUUAUUUAAUAGACGAGAAGACCCUAGGAGUUUAUUUAACAAAUAAUUUGAAAUAUUUUGUUGGGGCGACAUUACAGCAGAAAUUAUUUAACCUGUAAAUAUUAAUUUAAUUUAACGAAAAUUUUUAAUUAUGAUUAAACUACCCUAGGGAUAACAGCAUAAUUUAUUUUUAAGUUUGUGACCUCGAUGUUGGACUAGGAAUUUUUAAUAUUAACAGUAUUAAAACAAUGUUCUGUUCGAACAAUAUUUCCUAC
rnacentral:rRNA from 1 species